GGGAAUGUGGCUUAGUGGUAGAGUGCUUGCUUAGCAUGCAUGAAGACCUGGGUUCGAUUCCUCAGUACCA
rnacentral:tRNA from 1 species